rnacentral:lncRNA from 1 species
AAAUACUGGGUGUGAGAGAGUAGAAAAGGUUAAGGGAGACUCAUUUCGAGCAGCAGUCCCCCUUCCUUCCAAGUUUCAUCAAAUCGUCUAAACUUUCAAAGCACUGAAGAUUGAGCAGCGAUUGGUGUUGGUGCUAAACCGAUUGGAAGAUAUGGAGUUGUAGACUGGCGGAGAUUGGUAAACCGAUUGAGUAGCUCUGAAGUAAGAACAAAGCAUCAGGGAGACGGAGAAUCGUUGUAAGUUCUUGAAUUGAUAUCAUUAUUCUUUUUGGGUUAAAUAUCUAUAUUGUUUUGGGAUUUCCAUGUCUAGAUCGGGUUCGCCCAAUAGAUUGAAUCUUGUUGUUCUUAUGUUCUAUCUCCGGAAUCCCAGAUUUCAUUGGAUGAUUCCAAAUUACUGAGAUUGAUGAUUGAUUCCAUGACGGCCGUGUGUGUUUCGCUUCAUAUAACGGCUAGAUGGAAAUAUAUAUCAUGUCAGACAAGUUUGGUUGUUUGGACGCGGAUAUUUUCUUGUCGGAAAUCUCAUAUCUUGUCAGAGCUGGAUAUAUUUUUAUCCGGCUUCAUUUCUGUCUAUCGCGACUGAUGCCGAAAAUCGCGAAACCCAUCUAUUCCUCUGCCAGCUCCAUUCAUUUACCUACUCCCUUCCCAUUUUCCGGCCAGCUUCGACCAUUUGCGACUGCAGCCGACCUUCUCCAACCAUCUUUCUCAUUUUGGUGUCUUCUGGGUAAAUUUCUCUUCAAUUUUAACCUCCUGUUUAUGGAUCUUUAGCUGUUAUUUUCUCAAAGAGAUUCAUCUUCAGUCUAAUGUAACAAAUUUCUCUCU